GUCCACGCCGUAAACGAUGAGUGCUAGGUGUCACGGGCUUUGACUCUCGUGGUGCCGCAGCUAACGCAUUAAGCACUCCGCCUGGGAAGUACGGCCGCAAGGCUAAAACUCAAAGGAAUUGACGGGGGCCCCGCACAAGCGGUGGAGCAUGUGGUUUAAUUCGACGCAACGCGAAGAACCUUACCUGGGCUAGAAAAUGCAAGAAUCUGGGAGAAGUCUCGGAGUGCUCUUCGGAGAACUUGUAGUUAGGUGCUGCAUGGCUGUCGU
rnacentral:rRNA from 1 species